GUGCCAGCAGCCGCGGUAAUUCCAGCUCCAAUAGCGUAUAUUAAAGUUGUUGCAGUUAAAAAGCUCGUAGUUGAAACUUGGGUCUGGCUGGCAGGUCCGCCCCACCGCGUGUACUUGUCCGGCCGGGCCUUCCUUCUGGAGAACCUCAUGCCCUUCACUGGGCGUGUUGGGGACCAGGACUUUUACUUUGAAAAAAUUAGAGUGUUCAAAGCAGGCCUUUGCUCGAAUACGUUAGCAUGGAAUAAUAGAAUAGGACGUGCGGUCCUAUUUUGUUGGUUUCUAGGACCGCCGUAAUGAUUAAUAGGGACAGUCGGGGGCAUCAGUAUUCAAUUGUCAGAGGUGAAAUUCUUGGAUUUAUUGAAGACUAACUACUGCGAAAGCAUUUGCCAAGGAUGUUUUCAUUAAUCAGUGAACGAAAGUUAGGGGAUCGAAGACGAUCAGAUACCGUCGUAGUCUUAACCGUAAACUAUGCCGACUAGGGAUCGGGCGAUGUUCUUUUUCUGACUCGCUCGGCACCUUACGAGAAAUCAAAGUUUUUGGGUUCUGGGGGGAGUAUGGUCGCAAGGCUGAAACUUAAAGAAAUUGACGGAAGGGCACCACCAGGCGUGGAGCCUGCGGCUUAAUUUUGACUCAACACGGGGAAACUCACCAGGUCCAGAUGAAGUAAGGAUUGACAGAUUGAGAGCUCUUUCUUGAUUUUUCAGGUGGUGGUGCAUGGCCGUCUAGUGGUGGAGUGAUUUGUCUGCUUAAUGCGAUACGACGAGACCUAACUGCUAAAUAGCAGCUAGCUUGCUGGUCGCCGGCUUCUAGAGGACUAUCCGCUCAAGCGAUGAGGUGAAGCAUAACAGUCUGGAUGCCCUAGAUGUUCUGGGCCGCACGCGCGCCUACACUGACAGAGAGUCAUAU
rnacentral:rRNA from 1 species